rnacentral:lncRNA from 1 species
GGAUGAUGUGGAAGGAUGGCCUAAUUCUUCCUCAGAAUCUCUUUUUCUCAUUCUUCUUCUGCCUUCCCCUUUUGCUUUAACAAGAUCAGGGAAAUGGUAAACAGAAAGGACUCCAAGCCUCUAAAAAGGCGACAUUCAGUCUUUUGCUUUUGAAGAAGACAGGAGCGCAUUUGGUGUGGAUGCAGUACAUUCACUAAUCCAAGCCUGCACCACGCUUCCGUUUACUGUUCAGAAGGUACAGAGGCCUCACUCCACUGAGACAGACGGCAGCAGCGUCUGAAAGGGGAGGGAGAAGAGAAGCGUGGCCAGAUGAUUGUGCCCCACAGAAACACAAUGAAUUAAUGGAUGGAUGGUUGAAGAAUGGAUGGAUAGAGAGGGAGAGACAGAUUGAGAGAGAGAGGUAAUCACAUUUUUGUCUUACUUUUGGCUGACCUUAGGGCCGGCUAUUAGAGAACACAUGGGAGAGGUCUGGGACACAAAUAAAUGAGAAAGCUUUAUGUACUGAAUCCA